CGGAAAUGACAACUUUGACAAAAAAAAGCUCUCAGUUAAUUACGGUGGAAGUGCUCUGUUGCGACGAUACCCCUCGUUGCAGUAGCGUAUACCAGUGUUGAAGCGUACCGAACGUCGAACAGCUACCUAUACUGGACAUACAAACGUCAACGAGAUAGACAAUGAUAAGGCAAUUUGGAUUGUAAAACACUCAGCAUUAUCGAAACCCAAAAUUUUGCAAGUUUUUUAAAAAGCAUUUUUUUUAUUGAUUCUGUGGCGAAAUUGAAGCAUAAAAUUAGCAGUCUGUGCCUGAUUCGUGAAUUAAUUCGUAGGGCGAACAGAUAGUGAGUAGAUGGAAAUAUGCAGAUUAGAGAGCAAAUCUCAUUGUCGAAACACUAACUAAUGUUUUCUUAAAUUAUAUUACGUUAUAGCUGGCUAAAACUUAAAAACUAAAUCACAGGCUAUUCUUUGGUUUGUUCAUAAAAAGUAAAAGAUAAAGAUUGUACCGUAUUGCUGAUUUGCUGCACCUAGGGUGGUCGUGAAACGAUCCUUGUCUACCGAGUUGAUCACCAAAAUUCUUGAAGCUGUGUCAGCACUUUCCGUGUUUGCUAUCAAGAUUU